GCAACGGUGGUUCCGUGGUAGAAUUCUCACCUCGUGUACAGAAGACCUGAGUUCAAUUCUCAGCCAAUGCA
rfam:Loxodonta africana unplaced genomic scaffold scaffold_43, whole genome shotgun sequence.